ensembl:lncRNA
ACAUCUCACUUGUAUCCCACUGUGUGUUCCCAGCACUGGUUUCCCACCGUGUGUUAGUGCAAUAGGUUACACAGUGCAAUAGAGAACACAGGUGUCUGCUGCUUGAUGCAACUCGUAUCUUCCAGUAGAGUCCUUGCAGUGCUCUCAGUGUGACCAGGAUGUCAAUGUCCAAGCCUGGUGGCAUCUGGGCUUCCCUGCCCUGGGCAGGUGGAGUGGGCUGCAGGAGCCCUGCCAGGUCUCUGCUGCAUCCCUGCAGGUGCUGGAGCUCUUGCAUCUACCCAGCUUUAUUACAGCAUUAUGGUGGAUUUGACAAUUUUUCAGAUGAGGCCACCUCUGAAGUGCUGUGGGAUAAGUUGAUCUACGGGCAGCUUGCAACCAGGCCGCUACAGCUGCAGCAACACAUGCUCAGAUUUGGAUGUGACCAGAAUUUUCUGCCACAAACUGCAUGAGGUCCUGCGUUUUCCCAGAAGCCAUGCAGACUUUUGUUUUCUGGUGUUGGGCUAGAAUCUUCUCAUCCAGUUCAUAAAUGACUGCUUGCAAUUUCAUGCUCACUCUCUGUCCUAAGUACCCACGCAUUGCACCCCACGUGUUGGUGCUUGUGUGCAGCAUACAAAACCUGCUCUCUGGCUGUGCAAUUUCUCCUGGUUGAGGAAGAGGAGAGGCUUGUCCCAACAGAUCCAUCAUCUGCUUCCUGAAUUGCUCUGCAAGGAACCGGCUUUCCUUCCAAGCUCAAAGCAAUGAUUCACCGUCAGCACACGGUCCAGCAGCAGCUGGUAUGCAUGUAACUGAGGCUCUCUUACUAUCAGGAUGCACGUUCUCUCUCUUGUCUUAGGGAGAUCUCAACUGAACCGACUCCUCACCUAAUGCUUCAGCAAUGCCUAACGUGGGAGUGACUAGGCACACCCAAUUGCAACUGCCCCCAUUUCAAACAGCUGGCUUGCAGGGCAUCUAAGAAUUAGUUUUCACUUUGCAUUAGGUGUCUUCAGCCCGUUGAAGCAGAACCUUAACUUACUGUAUUCAACGGCUUUUGGACGAUCCCCUUUUGCUUUCUGCAGAAAAUUAAAAAGAAGGACAAAAUUUUGUUUUAAGGUCCCUGAUUUUGUUUUUCUGCCAAAGCAAAUGAAGGGUCUUUGUUAAAAUUGGUUUUCAGCUGCUCUCAGAGAAUACCCAAGCUAUUCAGGAGGAUUGUACAGCUGAAAUUAUCUGCGACUUUUAGGUUGUGUAUGGAUCAUUUGCCUUGGGAAAGUCCACUAUGAAAUAACAGCCUGCUUUGAUGGGGUUAUCAUUAUCAGAGCAGAGGUGCCCUGUUUCUGCUAUGAAAUCUUCAGGUGAGUGAGAAGCAAACAUCUCAUAAUGCCAUCUGAGGGUGAAUCUCCAACAAAUCUCAGUCUCCCCGCUUAGCAUUUCAGUGUGAAGGUCACCCUCAGGCAGCUUUCCCAUAGGCCACCAUGAGGUCUCCCCAGAGCCUUACCCUCUCCAGGCAGAACACCCUCAGCUCCCUCAGCCUUUAGAGCAGAGGUGCUCAUCCCCAUGGCCUCCUCAGGACCUGCACCUAUAAUGUAACAGGCAGUGAUGGGAGAGUGAGGGGAUGCUCUGGUCCUGGAGUCGUUGGGUUGGCCAUGGGGUGACCACCACACCUGCUCUGGUGGGGAAGCUGCCCUGCUGCCAUCCCCUCUGAGUGCCCCUGCCCUGGCAAAUGUGGCCCCAGGGGCUCCUGGGGACACAUAGCAACAAAUCCUAGGCUCUGUGGUGGCACUGUGAGCUGAGGGCUGAUGAUGUCAUGGCUACUCUCACUUCCAGGGCUGGGUCCACAUAGGCCACGCUGCUCUGCUCCAUUUUUGCCUUGGGUCCCAUAGCUUCAUCCCCACCAUCCUGCAGGUGGGUGGCAGACCCUGUAGCAGGAAGGCAGGCCUCCGGGCUGCUCCUUAACAGAGGCAAUCACAUUUUCACUCUUGGAUGACAGUGUUUCACUGUGCAGCUCCAGUGCUGUCAUUACAUUUUGCUGAGUGCUGUCUUUAUGCUGCUCUCCCGAGUUACUGCCCAAACAGCCCUCGGCCAUAUACAUCAUCUCCCCAUCUUAUUACACGGUUAUCAUCUUGUUGGAUAUAAAUAUGCUUUUCCAGAGCCUGCUACGGUUCCACCAAGAAAUGAAUGCAUUUACAAAAUAAAAUACUUUGCAGGCUGGUAUGGCUGGCAGUACUUUUCCACACUCCUAUAAUUAGAUGGGUCCUAACCAAACUACGUGUAGGAGUCUGGCUAGGACUGCAAAUAAUAGAUUCAGUCUCUAGAUACCCUUCUGCUAACUGGGCACGGAGUAUUUUUGCUGCUUAGAGCGAUUAGUGGUUCUUGGUGCACGCCCAGAGCUCUUCCACGCCAGCCCACCUCCUGCUCAGUGUUUGCCCUCUGCAUUGCCUUUAUUAAUUGUCUGACCUCAGAGUAAGUUUCUGGAGAAACAGUAGAAGUCUGAGUAUAAUCAGCCUAAAGCUGCCUAGCGGGGCAUCUCACUGCUAAUAUUUGACUAUGUGGGCAAUUAUGUGCUCUGAAUCUCUCAGCAGAAGGAUGCCGCUGCUCCUUUAUUCUACCGCCUUUGCGGCUGAUGGCAAUGUCCAAAUGCAAGGCAGAAAAGCAUCUUUCAUAGUCUGGACGCAGGUAACUGCAGUGAAAUUGUAUCCCACAAAGCAGCCUGGCCAAAAGCUUUCCAGAAGAGUGCAAACAUUCUGAUUUUUCUGGAGAAGCAAGGCCAGCCCUUGCAGUUGUUCCGUGGGAUAUACCCGGCAGACCAACAUCACUCUGACCUUGGCAGCUCUCCCCAACUCUUAUUUUCCAUGUUGAAGAAUCUUUGAAAUGCCACUUGUGUCCUGGACACCAUCACUACUCUUGCCUUUCGUGCAUUUCUCUUGGAUGCAUGGCCUUGGGCCAGCAGACUGUACUGCAGGGGACGGAGGAGGCUGGAAGUGGUAUCAGUGCUGUGAGUGCUUGGUCCUGAGGGGAUGGUGGCUCAGAGUGCUGGAUUGGUGAUAUAUCUGAUAAAAAGCCCCAUCUGCUCCAUUCUUAUUACUGGCCACACAAAGCUGUUGGAUUAUUGCACAUUACAGCCUCCCAGUAGCUGGAGGUUUUACAGCCUGCAUUUUACCCUUGGUAGUUCAGCUUAUGGUGGAGAACUGGAUGUGAGCAGCAGCCCUGGUUUUAUGGUUGAAGGCAGUGAAGUCACACUGAGCACCUGACAGCGGGGCAAGAGACUGCAGUUACAGACAGCGGUGCUAUCAGGGGCAGCAAAGUUGGCCGACUCACUGGAGAAACAUAUUUGACUUUCAAAGUACUGAGUGUUAGCACUGGAAACCAUAAACUUUACUGCUUUGAUUUGGAAAUGACUGCAUUGAAUGUCCAGUUCACCCAGUCCUAGGGGCUUGAGUUUUAUCGCAUGCGGGUGAUAAAAGACUGUCAAUGUUAUUCUUCUGUUAAAUACUUAUAGGAAUUCCUUCAUGCAGUACUUUGCAGUUCUCCAUGCCCUCUUCUAAACCCUGUCCUGAGAAGGGGGGAUAUUUGCCAUCUCACAAAUAGGUAAUGAGGGAAGGGAGAUGCUGACUUGCCUAACGUAAGACAUGAAGUCUGCUCUGGAGUGAGGAGCCUUGGCUCUGGUUUCUAGCCUUGGGCCUCUGCAUAGUGUUUCCUUGUUCUCCCAGUGCCUGAAAGAGGCUGUAUGUCUCAGUACAUGGAAAAAAAGAAAGAAGGAACGCUUUGGCCUGUCAAGUGCUAUUUGCUAUGCCCCAGCACUGGGUCGUGAACCUCCUUGUUCAGAGGCUGUCUGUGCUGCGUGUCUGUCUGUUGUCUACCACAGUGGGUAAUUAGACCCAGUCGGGAUAUUUCGGAUGAAAAUUAUGCAAAUAUAUUUGCUACUACUAAUCAAAACAGUUUAAAAAAUAGGCAAAGACCUCCCGCUGUCUAGAGCAGUUUUUCAUUUGAAGCUGAGGAUUUUCAGGAAAAAGUCCAA